GACACCGGCACGAUGCGAAUGCUGGGAUUUUGGAGCCCUUGCCACACCCCCAGCGUCAGACUCCCAUAAUUACUACGGAAAUUGCUUCCGUGUUUUUCUGCGCAUGCGCGGGUGGGGCGAGCCGGUCACUUAGCUACGGAGCUUGAGUUUUCAGCAGUCAUUGGAGUUCUGACUACACAGGUGGCAUAGGUUUCUUCUGGAACAUACGUCGUGGCACAGGAUGCAAACGGAGUGGAUGGGAGCGAGAGCUGAUAGUUGUAUGUCCCUUCAGGGAUUUAGCGAUGGCCUUCCAAAUACUUCCAGAUGAAGUAUUUCCAUUAUGUUCCUAUUUCCUACUACUUGAGAAAAGAUAAAGAAUCACUUCUAAAAGCUAGUUUCAAGCCUUUGUUGUCUUUGUAUAGUAACCAAUAAAUCAAUCUGCUUCAUAAUUUCA